rnacentral:rRNA from 1 species
AGUGAACGCUGGCGGUAGGCCUAACACAUGCAAGUCGAACGGCAGCACAGUAAGAGCUUGCUCUUACGGGUGGCGAGUGGCGGACGGGUGAGGAAUACAUCGGAAUCUACUUUUUCGUGGGGGAUAACGUAGGGAAACUUACGCUAAUACCGCAUACGACCUACGGGUGAAAGCAUGGGAUCUUCGGACCUUGCGCGAUUGAAUGAGCCGAUGUCGGAUUAGCUAGUUGGCGGGGUAAAGGCCCACCAAGGCGACGAUCCGUAGCUGGUCUGAGAGGAUGAUCAGCCACACUGGAACUGAGACACGGUCCAGACUCCGACGGGAGGCAGCAGUGGGGAAUAUUGGACAAUGGGCGCAAGCCUGAUCCAGCCAUACCGCGUGGGUGAAGAAGGCCUUCGGGUUGUAAAGCCCUUUUGUUGGGAAAGAAAAGCAGCAGGUUAAUACCCCGCUGUUCUGACGGUACCCAAAGAAUAAGCACCGGCGAACUUCGU